rnacentral:rRNA from 1 species
AUUGAACGCUGGCGGCAGGCCUAACACAUGCAAGUCGAGCGGAUGACGGGAGGUUGCUCCUUGAUUCAGCGGCGGACGGGUGAGUAAUGCCUAGGAAUCUGCCUGGUAGUGGGGGACAACGUUUCGAAAGGAACGCUAAUACCGCAUACGUCCUACGGGAGAAAGCAGGGGACCUUCGGGCCUUGCGCUAUCAGAUGAGCCUAGGUCGGAUUAGCUAGUUGGUGGGGUAAUGGCUCACCAAGGCGACGAUCCGUAACUGGUCUGAGAGGAUGAUCAGUCAAACUGGAACUGAGACACGGUCCAGACUCCUACGGGAGGCAGCAGUGGGGAAUAUUGGACAACGGGCGAAAGCCUGAUCCAGCCAUGCCGCGUGUGUGAAGAAGGUCUUCGGAUUGUAAAGCACUUUAAGUUGGGAGGAAGGGCAGUAAGUUAAUACCUUGCUGUUUUGACGUUACCGACAGAAUAAGCACCGGCUAACUCUGUGCCAGCCGCCGCGGUAAUAC